rnacentral:snRNA from 1 species
AAAUUUGCACCCUUCAAAUCGUAUAAAUCUUUCGCCUUUUACUAAAGAUUUCCGUGGAGAGGAACAGUCACGAGUUUCACCCAAUUUUUUUCUGAAGUAGUGAGGCAGCUGCA